GGCUGAAAUUCGCCUUCCAUGAAGCCGGAAUUGCUAGUAAUGGCAGGUCAGCAUACUGCCGUGAAUACGUUCCCGGGCCUUGUACACACCGCCCGUCACACCAUGAGAGUUGGGGAUACCCGAAGCCUGUGAGCCAACUAUAUAGAGGCAGCAGUCGAAGGUAGAAUCAAUGAUUGGGGUGAAGUCGUAACAAGGUAAC
rnacentral:rRNA from 1 species